AAACAAUAGGAGAUUCAGAUGCUUUCAUGGAAAUAAUGAAUCUGUGUUGUUGGUUGUCUUCAGGGUCAAAGACUUUGUGAAGUAAAUGUAGGGAAUCCUUUUACUCCGAACUCUGAGGCCACGCUGGAGAACCGAGUGCAAUCCAACUUGCCGACCUUCACUGGUGUGUUACGGAGAGACAGCGACACUUGGUGAAAGGUUGGCUCCAGUUUCUUGCAGUGACCACACCAUGGAGCAUAAAACUGUCAACCAAAGCAUAAAAUAUCAAAGAUUUCAAUGCUGCCAUGUGGACAUUUAAAUAAGCAUCCUGCUUGACUUCAGUAGUGUAAACAAUAGUUUAGUUCCUAUGCAAGAUACCUGUAAACUAUAAUAAUAUCGUCUCUUUAAAGGGACAUGGUUAGAUCUCAUUAUUUUUUUCAAAUGGCCUUUUGUUUUGAGCAAGUAUUGUAAUACUUCAA